AUUGAACGCUGGCGGCAUGCUUUACACAUGCAAGUCGAACGGUAACAGGCCGCAAGGUGCUGACGAGUGGCGAACGGGUGAGUAAUGCAUCGGAACGUGCCCAGUCGUGGGGGAUAACUGCUCGAAAGAGCAGCUAAUACCGCAUACGAUCUAUGGAUGAAAGCGGGGGACCGUAAGGCCUCGCGCGAUUGGAGCGGCCGAUGUCAGAUUAGGUAGUUGGUGGGGGAAAGGCUCACCAAGCCAACGAUCUGUAGCUGGUCUGAGAGGACGACCAGCCACACUGGGACUGGGACACGGCCCAGACUCCUACGGGAGGCAGCAGUGGGGAAUUUUGGACAAUGGGGGCAACCCUGAUCCAGCAAUGCCGCGUGCAGGAAGAAGGCCUUCGGGUUGUAAACUGCUUUUGUACGGAACGAAACGGUCUGGGUUAAUACCCUGGGCUAAUGACGGUACCGUAAGAAUAAGCACCGGCUAACUACGCGCCAGCAGCCGCCGUAACAC
rnacentral:rRNA from 1 species